AUUGCGUUUGAUAGAUAGACUUUUAUUUUGAAGGCGAUGUCUAGCAGGAAGUCGGCCGUCGGCCAUUUUGUUUUAAUCACAACAAACCGUGUGCAGCUAGUGCUAGUCAAGUGUUCAUCCAUGGUCAUCCUUGUUUCUGUUUGUGCCUUCGACAUCAUCGUCUUUUUACUCCAUGUUUUGGGAGAACACUGCAAUAAAAAGGAGCUUUGGAAGCUAUACCCUGACUCAGUGUCUACCUUAGCAGGAGUUAGGCUUACUGCUGAAUUGGUGUUAGAAACACACACAAGGAGAGCAGGAAAG